GCUUAAGGCCGCACCAGCCUGAGAAUGCCAGCUCUCCUUGGACCUCAGAUGCCAAGCAGCUUUGGGCCUUGUUAGUACCUGGAAAGGAGAUUGCCUGUGAAUACCAUGUGCUGUAAGCU
rnacentral:rRNA from 1 species